GAUGAACGCUAGCUACAGGCUUAACACAUGCAAGUCGAGGGGCAGCACAGUGUAGCAAUACACGGGUGGCGACCGGCGCACGGGUGCGUAACACGUAUCCAAUCUGCCCGUUACUCGGGGAUAGCCUUCUGAAAGGAAGAUUAAUACCCGAAAGCAUUCAUUUGCGGCAUCGCUUAUGAAUUAAAGAUUUAUCGGCAACGGAUGAGGAUGCGUACGAUUAGCUUGUUGGCGGGGUAACGGCCCACCAAGGCUACGAUCGUUAGGGGUUCUGAGAGGAAGGUCCCCCACACUGGAACUGAGACACGGUCCAGACUCCUACGGGAGGCAGCAGUGAGGAAUAUUGGUCAAUGGUCGAGAGACUGAACCAGCCAAGUAGCGUGAAGGAUGACUGCCCUAUGGGUUGUAAACUUCUUUUGUUUGGGAAUAAAGUCAGGUACGUGUACCUGUUUGUAUGUACCAUUCGAAUAAGCAUCGGCUAAUUCCGUGCCAGCCGCCGCCGUAAGAC
rnacentral:rRNA from 1 species